rnacentral:tRNA from 1 species
GGUUUUAUAUUCAAUUUAUGAUAUUAGAUUGCAAUUCUAAAGUAGUAUUAAUUACUAAAACCU